ACUUGGCCCAUUCAUGGCCAAAAGCCCAUUCUUGCAAAUUCAAGGGCCAUGCUUCCAAACUUAAUUAUACAACAGCUGCAGAAACUUCAUCUUCCUCCUAUAUAGCAUUCUGUUCACGUUUCUUGGUUUCUAACCUAAAAUUUCUUCACUUUAAAACACAACCCUAGCUGUCUUACACUCUCUACGUUUCUGAGAUCAAAGUCUUCAUCAUCAACUCCCCUUCUCCAUUCGUUUCAGAUAUAUUUCGAUUGUUCUUCGUCGAUCCACACCAACUCAGCGAGCUCUAUCAUCGCCACGUUUCGAAAUUGAUUAAGACCCGUCGACUGUUCGUACUUCAGAGGCGAACCAGAGUUAGAUUGCUUGUCAGGAUCACGUGGAUUUAGCAAGCAGUUUAUGAUUUGAGCGUUGGUCGAUCUCCGUUUCUUCAUUCUCGGAGGUUUUAUUUUAUUUUCAGAAUAAAAGAGUCGAACUGUUUUAAACUCUUAGACCGCAGUAGUAGUAUCAGUUAUUCAUGUCUUAGUCUUUUAUUUAUAUUUUUGACUAUUGUUGUUGGAUUUGUCCAACUAUUACUUUAUCGCUUGUGGCAUGAUUACAGUGUUUAUGGUAUUUAUAUUAUAUUGCCAUACUGUUGGAGAUUUUUCUGAGAUAAGCGUAAUUUAAAUAUAUAUUGCUUUAUGUA